UACGUAGGGUGCGAGCGUUGUCCGGAAUUAUUGGGCGUAAAGAGCUUGUAGGUGGUCUGUCGCGUCUGCCGUGAAAAUCCGGGGCUCAACCCCGGACUUGCGGUGGGUACGGGCAGAUUAGAGUGUGGUAGGGGAGACUGGAAUUCCUGGUGUAGCGGUGAAAUGCGCAGAUAUCAGGAGGGACACCGAUGGCGAAGGCAGGUCUCUGGGCCGUAACUGACGCUGAGGAGCGAAAGCGUGGGGAGCGAACAGG
rnacentral:rRNA from 1 species